UUCUUUUAUCAUAGUGGACUUGCAAUCAUUACGUGGAUUUAAUGCAUGCAUGUGCUUGCUUUUACCAAAGCACAGGCUCUUUGUAUAGUUAAGCACUCUGUGUGCUAUAUCUACAUUAGCUUUUCCACCGUCAGUUUCUUUGCUUUGACUUUCUCUACGUGCAUACCAGCAACUAUUAUAAUGUUUUAGAGAUGUUUCUCUUUUGUCCUGCGUCUUUCUGUUAAGCCUCCAUCUUGUGCCAGCCUUUGGUGAUUUUUGUUUCCAGUUUUCUCGUUCUCGCUCGCUUCAAUCAGGUGCUGCCUGUUUUUCUUUACUGUAUUUCUCCACUUUUGCGCCUAAUAUAGCUGUUUAUUACGUUGUUCCUUCGGUGAACUUUUUGCUGUUUCACUGUGUUUGUUUAUUUUUGUUUCGUAUGCUUCAGAUUAUGCUUUUAUCAUUUUCUCUUCCCCAUCAUUUCCAUUUCUUUGUUGCAAGUUUUUAGUUUGCAUGGACUCUGACUUUUCUUAUGUUAGCUACUUCCAUGUUAUAUUUAUCUUUUCUGUGAUCUUAUCGGUUUAUUCCAUGCAGCUCAGCUCAACCAUCCUAUUCGAAGCUUAUUGUUCAGGUAAAGCAAUCUCUCCUUUACUUAUUUGUUCCUCAUCUGCUUAGUGCUUAGCCUGUUCUACUUCGUUGUGUUUUAUUUUCUAUGUUUGUUAUCGUUUUGCUUAUUAAAUGGUAAUCAUCUGUUUCAUUCACGCUUGUUUUGUCUCCUCCAAGAAACUUUAGAUGAUUUAUGAUUGUGAUUGUUGGAUGUCAUGGAUAACAGAAUUUUCUUAAUUUUGGCUACAAUUGCAUAUGGGUCGGAAACGUAAAUUUUCCUCAGAAGAUGAAUAUCGUUUAGAAAAAAGCCGUCGUGAUCGCGAAAGAUAUAUUAGAAAAUUAGUUCGACAUAAAAAGGCAGCUCUUUUGGCUAUUGAACCCCAGAGUGCAGAAACGCAGGUUUUACCUAUGACCACUGCUCCUCAGACAACUGAGCACAAUCUUUUUGAUGUUCCUGUUCAUCAUGAUUUGCCAGCUAAACAUGCAGUCGGCUGUUUCUGUUUGGAUUUGCCUGUGUUUUCACUUCCAGAUAACACAGAUAUUCCAUCAACUUCAACUGUGUCCAGCAUUGAUCCAUGUAGUAUUCUUCCCUUAUUGUUAUGUGCUCUUUUUUUGUGUCCUUUUUUCCCCUGACCUAUAGCAGGCUUGAUCAUCUUGUUAAUAUUUUAUUCAUAUAGUUUGUCCAGCUAUAAACGAUGAUUCGGUUUCACAGAGUUUCUUUAAUUCAGCUUCAUCACAUGUUCAUGUACACCAAUUUCCUCUUCCUCCUCAUUCAGGUAGUAGUGAUAUCGUUCUUUAAAUCAUCCACUCACUAUCAAUAUGAAAUCAGAGAAACAUGCUAGCUCACUCAAUCACUUAAUUUCUCCAUAAAAUAUUCAGCUUGCAUUUCAAACUUUCAAUUUUCAGCCUCAAACUCAUCCAUAAACGAAGGAUCUAAUAUAGCAACAUCUUCAAACCUUCGACCGGGUAUCUUAUCAAUUUUCAAUCUUGCUCCUAUAUCCUAUUUAUACUGGUCAAUAUACUUUUAUUUCUUGCAUAACCAGAUAUUGGCCAUGCUGUAUACUUUUAGGUAAUCAUCGCCGUCGAACAAAUAUACCGCUCAUAGAGCAGAUACAAUCAGAGCCAAGUAUAUUCCCAUUUGUUCCAGAUUGUAUUCACUGCCAUGCUAAACGGUAUUACAUGGAGCUGCCUCGAUUCUGCUGUGCUUCUGGAGAGAUUAAAUUAGCACCAACCAAAAUGCCUGAUAGAUUAGUACAGCUUUAUAAAGCAAACACUCCUGAAUCAAAAGAAUUCAGACAAUGUGUUAGGAGUUAUAAUAACAUGUUUGCUUUCACAUCUCUGGGGGUUCAUUAUGAUAAAGAUCUCAGCAAGAGGAAUGAUGGUAUUUAUACUUUUAGGGUGCAAGGACAGAUAUACCAUUUUAUGAACUCAUUAUUUCCUUCUGAUGAUGACAAGGCAUCAAACUUGCAACUGUAUUUUUAUGAUACAGAACAUGAGUUAGCAAAUAGAAUGGCUAUCUCAGGCAAAUUCAAAGAGUCUAUUGUACAACAGCUGAGGUCUAUACUUGAUGAAAAUCCAUAUUCUGCUUUUAUUCGAAGCUUGACAGAAGUUCAGGACCUAGACAGAUAUCGGAUAUUUCUAAAGUCUGACAGUAUAUGCCGCUCUACUUUUUAACAACAUUCAUCCCACAACAAUCAGCAAGUGAAGCACUAUCUCAGCAAGUCAUACAGAGCACGCCACACACAUUGCUAACAAGACCAACAUCUCCCCUAAAUAAUAUGCCAGAGGAGACUGUUUCAGACACAAACAUCACCGAAGC
rnacentral:lncRNA from 1 species